rnacentral:lncRNA from 10 species
UUAAAAUACAAAAAUUAGCUGAGUUUGGUGGUGGGCACUUGUAAUCCCAGCUACUCGAAAGGCUGAGGCAGGAGAAUCACUUGAACCUGGGAGGUGGAGGCUGCAGUGAGCUGAGACGACACCAUUGCACUCCAGCCUAAGCAACAAGAGCAAAACUCCAUCUCAAAAACAAAAACAAAACAAAAUAAAACAAAAUCAAAGUCACCAGGACUUCUGGGGACCACUUCACUACCUCCUGUCUCCCCUAGCAGCCCUCCUGUAGCUCAAUUCUAGGGCUCUCCCUGUUUUCCAAAGCAGAGGAAAGGGAGGACACCAAGAUUUCAUAAACAGCCACUUUGUAUGCCACAGUAGAGGGAAAAUGUGGGCUGGGCCAUCAGUCAAGGCCAGUGGUAAAUUGGUGUUCAGAAAUCACGUCAUAAAGUCCAACACAAUUGUUGAAAAUGGAAAGCAAAUUUGAAAACUAAUUUCUUGGUGGCCAAAGCAGAUCAGCUGAAAACACUCAGACCUGUGAAUAUGUGCACUUUUGAUUUAUGACAAAGCUGGCCAAGCAGUAGGAAAGGAAAGGCUUUUUAAUAAAUGGUGCUGGGAUUAUUGAGUAUCUAAAUAGAAGAAAGCAAAACAAAAUUCUUGACCCCUACCUCACACCAUCCACAAAAAAAGCAACUCCAGGUAGAUUUAGAUUUAAAUGAGAAAGGCAAAACAAUGUAGCUUUAGAAGAUAAUAUAGGAGUAUCAGUGAGGGCUCAACCAGAGAAGCAGGGCCAGUCAGUGAUCCUCUGUGUGUGUGUUUACAUGGAAUUGGCUCAUACAAUUGUGGGCGCAGGCUAAGGACAUCUGAAGUUUGAUGGGCAGGCUGUCAGGGGCUGUUUGGAGUGUGGCUCAGGGAAUGCCUAAACCCUUUUAACAAAGCCUUUCAAUUAACUGAGUCAGGCCCAUCCAGGAUAAUCUCUCCCCACUUUUUUUUAGAUUAAUCAAGUGCAGUAGUGAGAAGUGGAGGAUGAGUGGAACAAGGAGUUCGAUCUGUAACUGACUGUGAGCAAUAAUCUCCCUUUUGAUUAUCUUAAUGUCAACUGACUUGGGACUUUAAUCACAUUGCAAAAUCUCUUUGCAGCAGCAUGAAGGCCAGGGCUCAAGUGAGUAACUGGAGAAAGUGUGUGCAUGCUUGAAAGGCCACUGCUUCCCUGUUGUCCUCCUGCUCUCAGUAGAGAAUACCCCUGGUUGCCCAUCCCAUCCCUGUACCCUCCCUAACUGAAUGCACACUAGAAAGGGCAUUCCAGGGAAAUAUAGCUCAGCCUAGGCAAGGUCACACAUCAGAAAGCCACCCAAAUAGGAAAAUAGCUUUAUGACUUUGCUUCUUAAGCAAGAUAUAAAAAGCACAGUCCAUAAAGAAAAAGACUGAUAAUUUAGGCUAUGCUAAAAUUAAGAAAGUUUGUUUAUCAAAGAGACCAUUAAGAAUGUACAAAAAGCAAUCUAGGAGUGGGAGAAAGUAUUUGCAGCACAUAUAACUGACAAGAGACUCAUAUCUAGAAUAUAGAAAGAACUCUUACAAAUCAAUGAGAAAAACUAAAAAAAAAAAAAAAACAAACCAGAAAAUUAUGAAAGAGACUUGAACAGGUACUGUGUGAAAGAGUUAAUGGCCAGUAAACACAUGAAAAAGUGUUCAACCUCAUUUAGUCAGAGAAAUACAAAUUAAAACCAUAGUGAGUUUCCUGUGGUAGUGUUAAAAUAUGUCCACAAAUUCUUUAGUACUCUUCAUUUCAAGAGGUGGAACUUAAUUCCCCUCCCCUUGAGUGUGGCUGGACUUGAGUGAUUCACCUUAAUAAAUAGGAUAUGGCAAAAGUAAUGGUGUAUCACUUGCAACACUAAGUCGUGAGACAAUGUGGCCUCUCUCUCUCUUUCUCUCUCUUCCCCACACCCCUCUCUCUCACAGCACUUGCUGAUGCCAUGAGGCAUGACUCUCAUGAGGACAGUCAAGCAGACCUGCUAAGAGGUGCAUACAGCGAGAAACUGAGGCCUCUUGCCAUCAGAUCAUCUUCUUGAGGCCCUCGCUAGAAGCACAUGCUGGAGCUAUGCUGGUACAGCCUGCAGAACCAUGACCAUUUCCAAUUUUCCUCAUCCUUCUGGCUUGGAAUUGCCAUGGUUUUCCUGAAGCCCAGCAAGCUGAAGCCAGACUACUUGAUAGAAGCUUCAGAGAAGCCACCUCAACAGCUCAUGCAUGGAAAACCUUUGUGACCUCCAAGCUGCAAACCAGGAAGAGCUGUCACUUGCCGCUGCCUGCUCCAGCUGAAGGGUCUUCAGGCCUAGCAUCUAGAAAUCUUCUUGACCGGCUGACUGCCUUCUGGACUCAGAAAGGCUUCUAUUCCUGUGUGGCUGGAAACUGGGGAAACCUGGCCUCUGGACGGCUCACAGAAACAGAGCCUCUCAGGAGCAGUACCAUUUAAUCCUUCACCACCUGAGAGGAGAUGAGAGCUGUUAUUCCCAUUUUAAAGAUGAAGAAACUGAGCCUAGCAGAGACUGAGAAAAAGCAAUCACACAACUAGGGAAUGGCAGCAUAACAACAAAAAUCCAGGGCCUAGCAACGUCUGAGCCCUACAGCAGGUGGGGAUGAGGAGGGCAUCCCCUGGAACAGGAGCUGCCCAGCACCACCCCAGAGGGGACAGAAUUGGGAGAGUUGAAAUGUUUGUUCAGAUCCUUGCCCAUAUUCUAAAUGUUUUAGGAGAAUUGACAGCUUUACUAUACUGACACGUCCAGCAUAUGAAAAUGGUAUGUUUCUCCAUUUAUUUUGAUCUUCUUUCAUUUCUUUUAUCAACAUUUUGUAUUUUUCCGCAUACAACACAUGUACUUGUUUUGUUAGAUUUGCACCUAAAUAUUUCAUUUUUGGAUGAUUUAAAAUACUAUUAUAUUUUUAAAUUUUGUUAUCCAAGUGUUCAUUGCUAGAAUAUAGAAAUAUACAGUCAUGAGUUGCACAGUGAUGUUUUGGUCAAUGGUGGACCGCAUAUACAAUGGUGGUCCUGUAAGAUUAUAAUGAAGCUGAAAAAUUCCUGGUGUCCAGUGACGCUGUAGCCAUCAUCAUGUCAGUGCAUUAUUCAUGUGUUUGUGGUGACACUGAUGUAAACAAAUCUACUGUACUGCCAGUCUUGUAAAAGUAUAGCACAUAGAAUUACGUAUAAUACAUAAUACCUGGUAAUGAUAAUAAAGGACUAUGUUACUGGCUUAUGUAUUUACUAUACUACGCGUUUUAUCCUUACUUUGGAGUUUAUUUUUUCUAUUUAUUAGAAAAUAGUUAACUGUAAAACAGCCUCAGGCAGGUCCUUCAGGAGGUAUCCAGAAGAAGACAUUGUUAUCCUAGGAGAUGACAGCUCGGUGCAUGCCGUUACCCCUGAAGAUUCCCAGUUGGACAGGAUAUGGAGGUGGAAGACAGUGAUAUUGAUGAUCCUGACCAUGUGUAG